rnacentral:tRNA from 1 species
GUGGUUAUAACUUAGUGGUAGAGAGCUUGCUUAGCCUGUGUGAGGCCCUGGGUUCGAUCCUCAGCACCACA